AAAGUCGUAACAAGGUCUCCGUUGGUGAACCAGCGGAGGGAUCAUUACAGAGUUUAACGACUCCCAAACCACUGUUAACGUACCCGUACCGUUGCCUCGGCGGGCGGCCCCUGGGAGGGGCCGCAGCCUCCUCGCGGAGGCGCCCGCCGCAGGUCACACAAACUAUAUCUAUUUAGUGGCACAUCUGAGUAAACUUCCAAACAAUCAAAACUUUCAACAACGGAUCUCUUGGUUCUG
rnacentral:misc_RNA from 1 species